ACGUAGUGCAGUGGGUAGCACAUUGGACACGCAUUCCGAAGGUCCUGGGUUCGAAUCCCAG
rnacentral:ncRNA from 16 species